CAAAGGGCUCCCCUGUGCUAUUAGUAUUUGUACUGCUGUGGUGCCUGAGGCCCCAGCUGAGAUCAAGGCCCCGGUGGUGGCCAGGGUACAACAAGAUAAUGAGAGACAGGUUUCCCUCACUGCCCUGCCACGACCAAAAAGAAAGGGAAAUAGACUGAGAAAAGGUGUCUGAAGAAACAGAUCUCGGGAAAGAACCCCCUUCUCCUGUUUCUAAGCCAGAUCAUCACUAAGAUCAUUAAAUUGGCACCCAAAAUAUCGUUGUCAGGUAUGGCUCAGGCUGGAGCUUCAGCUGGCGAUGCUGGCACAGGUGCAGAGCUCCUAAGCCACAUCUUGCCUCUUCAAAACCUGAGUUUUGGAACAAAACAGCCGUGCCCUCCCUCAGCUGCAGGUUACUGAAGAAAGAAGAAGAUCCCAAAGCAAGUUUGGCGCUGUGAAGUGAAAUACUUGAUCCGAUGUUGCAAUAUGAGGCAGGAGCAGAAAGGCCUCUCUGGAGGGAGCAGGAGCUCGUGUUACUAACGAGACAUCAUUACUGAUUUCUUCCACUUCUCAGCAAGUCCUGUAAAGGAAAGUGAGAUGGAAGAAAUUCUCCAAAAAUAAAAGAACAGUGAGUGAGUGUUGGCUGUUCUGAGCCCAUCCAGGAUUCAGGGAGGUUCCCAGCUCCUUCUGAAAUCCCUCUGCACAUCACAGCCCUUCUGCUCAGCCAGGAGAAAUCAGCUUUUAGCACCAAGGCAGACACAGAUGAAGAACUCUGUCUCCACCGAAAACAAAAGAAGGUUCUGUCGCAAGACAAAUUGAAUCAAAUUCUCCAGGAGUUUUCCAGUUCAAUUAAGCUGUGGGAUAGUCCCUAUCUUAGGUGCAAAUCUCUCUGUGCAUUACAGGACCACAGACAGGGAUGUGGCAAAAGAUGAUUAAAUGAAGAUACCUUCAAGUGACCUGAUUUUGAUAGAUGAUAUUAAACCAAGCCUGAAAAUCAGACUCUCCUUGUGGUGGAAAACCUGAGGGAUCAACUAACAAUGAGAUUUCUGCUGUCUUGGUGAUGAACUGUCCUAAGAGCUGCAUUUUCAGUGAAU